AAUAUAUCCGAUGACAAUAUCAUUUCUAUCAUUUCAUAGAUAAAUUUGGUGCUGUGACCAGGAAGAUGUAUCCCAAGAGUGAUCCUCAUAGUGAUCCUAAUCUAAAACGCGUACACCAUGGCAAUGACAAUCAAGAAGAACCUCCUUCCAAGGAGGUUAAAUUUGAAAUUGGUUUAAUGGAGGGAGUUAUACAAGACUGGUCAAACUCCGACGUAAAUCAUAUCACUUCAUCGUUAUCAAAACGAGAAGCACUGGAGAUUACUAAUAGUACGAUUACUAAGGUCAAUUUGUCAAUUAAUUCCUCUGAAUCAUUGCAAAGCCAAACUAUUCCUGAUUUGAUUGAUGACAUGUUUGCUGACUGCUUCAAACAAUUUUGCAAUAAUAUGAACCAUAAAGAGCGCGGUGUGAAUUCACUGAAGCAUUACUUCGCAUUUUUACCCCGUAACAUACAAAAUAUGAACAAUAAUUUAGGUUCGCUAUGUGCAGAAUACGAUAUUGCCUAUGCAGAAGCCGAUAAACUGCGAAAGGCUGAAACCGUUGAUAAUAUUACUUCUGAGAAUUUUGAGAUGUAUAUUGAGAAUAGUGGCAGCACAAUUCCAGAAUUCUUGUUGGAUGAAAGCAGUGACGUCUUGCUACAAUAUGAGUCACUAUAUCAACAAUUAGUUGCGAAGACUAAUAAAAUGAAAGCAAUAACUGAAAAAAUUCGGGUAACACAAUGUGCAUUGUACCGAGCAGUAAAUAGUUACAACAAAUGUGCAAAAAUAUGUGAAAAGUACAAAACUCGAAUGCACACAUUCCAAGAGAAUAUUCAUUCCUUUAUAGAAUCGUUUAAAAGACAUUAAUAAAAAGAUUGCUAUAAUAA